rnacentral:misc_RNA from 1 species
CUCCGCCGCCGAGAUCGCGGAGAUGAACGCGAUUUCAGCGCAA